CGCACGCCUGUAGUCCCAGCUAC
rnacentral:piRNA from 1 species